ACAUAGUAAGUGACAAUUCUAUUUCUAUACAUCUAUCUAUUCACGUUUCACAUAAUAUUCACAUAAUAUUCAGUAUCACUUUCAGAAAUGAAAGUUCACAAAGGAAAGUAGGAAACCAUGGGCGAACCCUGGAUCUGCUGCUGCCACAUAUCACUUAUCCUCCACUGUCCACCCUAACUCUAUUGUGUUGCCUAACACCUCCACCCUAACUCUACUGUUCACGUAGGGGUUUCAUCAUCUCCAGUUCCUCGUUGAGUCAUCUUCUAUAAUCAAUCUCACCUUUUGAUUAUGUCUCUACCUUAUCUGCAAAUAUGGCUUCUGAUGUACUAAGCAUUUCAAUAACAAUUGUGGUCUCUGAAUUGGUGCUCGAGUUUUGAAAAAAUAUAUAAGCUCUUUGAAAGAUGUUACAGUUCAUUAGUUCAAGCUCUUAUGUGUGCACACGGUUGGUUACAUGAUUUUGAUGAAUAUGACAGUGACAACGAUGAUGAUGAAGAUAAGCAUGAAGUCAUCAUACAAGAAAAUAUGAUUUUUUCACAAGAAGGAACAAGCCAUUAACUACCAAUAUUAUGAACCAUCAAUUGUUGGAGACAAUUCAUGUAUGUAGUCAACUAAUGAUUUUGUUUUCUGGUUGUUGUAGUUAAUGUUGCCGAAAUUUCAAUCUUUUGAAGUUGAACAACUAUUUUAAAAUUAAAGUGUACUACAUUGUUGAAGUUUAA